AACGAACGCUGGCGGCAUGCCUAACACAUGCAAGUCGAACGGACCCUUCGGGUCUAGUGGCGCACGGGUGAGUAACGCGUGGGAACCUGCCCUUAGGUUCGGAAUAGCUCCCCGAAACGGGUGCUAAUGCCGGAUAAUGUCUUCGGGCCAAAGAUUUAUCGCCUUUGGAUGGGCCCGCGUUUGAUUAGCUAGUUGGUAGGGUAACAGCCUACCAAGGCGACGAUCAGUAGCUGGUCUGAGAGGAUGACCAGCCACACUGGGACUGAGACACGGCCCAGACUCCUACGGGAGGCAGCAGUGGGGAAUAUUGCACAAUGGGCGAAAGCCUGACGCAGCAAUGCCGCGUGAGUGAUGAAGGCCUUAGGAUUGUAAAAUUCUUUUACCCGGGAUGAUAAUGACGGUACCGGGAGAAGAAGCCCCGGCUAACUCCGUG
rnacentral:rRNA from 1 species